rnacentral:rRNA from 1 species
CCUACGGUGGGCAGCAGUGGGGGAUAUUGCACAAUGGGGGGAACCCUGAUGCAGCGACGCCGCGUGGGUGAAGGAGUGCUUCGGCAUGUAAAGCCCUAUCGGCAGGGAAGAAGCAAGACGGUACCUGACUAAGAAGCCACGGCUCACUACGUGCCAGCAGCCGCGGUAAUACGUAGGGGGCGAGCGUUAUCCGGAUUCACUGGGUGUAAAGGGAGGGUAGACGGCCAUGCAAGCCAGGGGUGAAAGGCUGGGGCUCAACCCCCGGACUGCUCUGGAAACUGGACGGCUGGAGUGCAGGAGAGGUAAGUGGAAUUCCUGGUGUAGCGGUGAAAUGCGUAGAUAUUAGGAGGAACACCAGUGGCGAAGGCGGCUUACUGGACUGUAACUGACGUUGAGGCUCGAAAGCGUGGGGAGCAAACAGGAUUAGAUACCCCUGUAGUC